rnacentral:rRNA from 1 species
GACGUAGGGCGCGAGCGUUGUCCGGAUUUAUUGGGCGUAAAGAGCUCGUAGGCGGCUUGUCGCGUCGACUGUGAAAACCCGGGGCUCAACCCCGGGCCUGCAGUCGAUACGGGCGAGCUAGAGUUCGGCAGGGGAGACUGGAAUUCCUGGUGUAGCGGUGAAAUGCGCAGAUAUCAGGAGGAACACCGGUGGCGAAGGCGGGUCUCUGGGCAGUAACUGACGCUGAGGAGCGAAAGCGUGGGGAGCGAACAGG